UGGCUCAGUGGUAAAGCACUUGCCUUCCAUGCAUGAGGCCCUGGGUUUGAUUCCCCAG
rnacentral:tRNA from 1 species